UACGGGAGGCAGCAGUGGGGAAUAUUGCACAAUGGGCGCAAGCCUGAUGCAGCCAUGCCGCGUGUAUGAAAAAGGCCUUCGGGGUUGUAAAGUACUUUCAGUCGUGAGGAAGGUGUUAAGGUUAAUAACCUUAGCAAUUGACGUUAGCGACAGAAGAAGCACCGGCUAACUCCGUGCCAGCAGCCGCGGUAAUACGGAGGGUGCGAGCGUUAAUCGGAAUUACUGGGCGUAAAGGGCACGCAGGCGGUUAAUUAAGUUGGAUGUGAAAUCCCCGGGCUUAACCUGGGAAUGGCAUUCAAGACUGGUUAGCUAGAGUCUUGUAGAGGGGGUAGAAUUCCAUGUGUAGCGGUGAAAUGCGUAGAGAUGUGGAGGAAUACCGGUGGCGAAGGCGGCCCCUGGACAAAGGACUGACGCUCAUGUGCGAAAGCUGGGGAGCAAACAGGGAUUAGAUACC
rnacentral:rRNA from 1 species